CCUACGGGUGGCAGCAGUCGAGAAUCAUUCACAAUGGGGGAAACCCUGAUGGUGCGACGCCGCGUGGGGGAAUGAAGGUCUUCGGAUUGUAAACCCCUGUCAUGUGGGAGCAAAUUACAAAGAUAGUACCACAAGAGGAAGAGCCGGCUAACUCUGUGCCAGCAGCCGCGGUAAUACAGAGGUCUCAAGCGUUGUUCGGAAUCACUGGGCGUAAAGCGUGCGUAGGCUGUUUCGUUAGUCGUGUGUGAAAAGGGGGGGCUCAAACCGCGGACCGCACAUGAUACUGCGAGACUAGUGUAGUGGAGGGGGAACCGGAAUGCUCGGUGUAGCAGUGAAAUGCGUAGAUAUCG
rnacentral:rRNA from 1 species